AAUCCAUACAUCAGACAUUUUCGAAGUAAUUCAUUAAAUCAUUCCCAAGCUUCAUAUAGUGUUUCAUCCUCUAAUUGCCAAAAGGAUGUGAUGUUGUUUCUAAGCUU
rfam:Gossypium hirsutum cultivar TM-1 chromosome 22, whole genome shotgun sequence